rnacentral:lncRNA from 12 species
CUGAAGACCUUUCACGUACACCUGUUCUGCCUGGAGAACAUGGAGCAGGAUGGAGACCAGCAGGAAACUGAACAAGAAGGAAUAAAUAAUAGAACAAAUGGUAGGACCAUCACUCUCUCUUCCAGGGCACUUUGCCCAUUGAAUCAUCCAGGUAAGAGCAAGUGUCUCUGUCUUUGGAAAUGUGUUUUGUUGCAACACUAGAAAACCCAAGCAAGAUCCAAAUGCUAACAGCUGAUUCGAGUGUUGUUUGGUUUUGAUUUGUCAGGAGACCAAAAUAAACAGUUCUAAGGUAAUGGGAAAGUGGCAAAAAAUGCCACUGGAAGUAUGUCCACUGUGACUCACUAUGAGCUAGGGUUUGCCUCCCCCUGACACCCUGAACCUGCAGCAAUGUCCUUGCACCUGACCGUGUUCUUUGGGUCUAGGCUGGCAAUGGGCUCUCCUUUGUCUCAAGGGAGUCUUGGCAAGGGCAAACAAAGGCAGAAAGCAGUUCUUGCACGACGGGACUCAGGUAUUGCUGGCUGGUGAGUGUCCUAUCAGAAGCCUAUCAAACUGAGCCUGGUGGCUUGUGGGCCAUGACAACUUGGAUGGGAUAGGAGGGGA